rnacentral:rRNA from 1 species
AACGAACGCUGGCGGCAUGCCUAACACAUGCAAGUCGAACGAGACCUUCGGGUCUAGUGGCGCACGGGUGCGUAACGCGUGGGAACCUGCCCUUAGGUUCGGAAUAACUCCCCGAAAGGGGUGCUAAUACCGGAUAAUGUCUUCGGACCAGAGAUUUAUCGCCUUUGGAUGGGCCCGCGUUGGAUUAGCUAGUUGGUAGGGUAAAAGCCUACCAAGGCGACGAUCCAUAGCUGGUCUGAGAGGAUGAUCAGCCACACUGGGACUGAGACACGGCCCAGACUCCUACGGGAGGCAGCAGUGGGGAAUAUUGGAAAAUGGGCGAAAGCCUGAUCCAGCAAUGCCGCGUGAGUGAUGAAGGCCUUAGGGUUGUAAAGCUCUUUUACCCGGGAUGAUAAUGACAGUACCGGGAGAAUAAGCUCCGGCUAACUCCGUG